rnacentral:tRNA from 1 species
GUGCCGCUGCGCUGGUUCGCCGACGGGCGGCUCGUCGCCGCCGAUCCCGAGGGCGGUGCGCCGCUGCUGCUGCUCG